UAUGUGCACACCUGGCUGUUUUACUCUUACACCUCUGUGCACUACUUGUAGGAUGGUUCAGUUGUUAGCUGGCUUUUUGUUAGGUCAGCUAAAAGCUUUGCCUUUUCCUAUGUUUUUAUUAUAAACGCUUCAGUUUAAGAAUGUUUACUUGCGUCUGACGCAUUAAUGUACAACUUUCAGCAACGGAUCUCUUGGCUCUCGCAUCGAUGAAGAACGCAGCGAAAUGCGAUAAGUAAUGUGAAUUGCAGAAUUCAGUGAAUCAUCGAAUCUUUGAACGCAACUUGCGCCCUUUGGCAUUCCGAGGGGCACACCUGUUUGAGUAUCAUGGAAUUCUCAAUCCUCUAAAUUCUGUAUGAGUUUAGUUGACUUGGAUGUGGAGGUUGUGUCGGUGGCUUUUUGUUAGUCGACUCCUCUGAAAUGUAUUAGUGUGAAUCUUAUGAAUCACCUUCAGUAUGAUAAUUGUCUAUGCUGUGGUGUGAAGUGUAUUUGUUUAUUCAUGCUUUGAAUCCUCUCUUAGAAGAGUCAAUUACUUUGUAAUCUGAUC
rnacentral:rRNA from 1 species